rnacentral:rRNA from 1 species
AUUGAACGCUGGCGGCAGGCCUAACACAUGCAAGUCGGACGGUAGCACAGAGGAGCUUGCUCCUCGGGUGACGAGUGGCGGACGGGUGAGUAAUGUCUGGGGAUCUGCCCGAUAGAGGGGGAUAACCACUGGAAACGGUGGCUAAUACCGCAUAACGUCGCAAGACCAAAGAGGGGGACCUUCGGGCCUCUCACUAUCGGAUGAACCCAGAUGGGAUUAGCUAGUAGGCGGGGUAACGGCCCACCUAGGCGACGAUCCCUAGCUGGUCUGAGGGGAUGACGCGCCACACUGGAACUGAGAAACGGUCCAGGCUCCUACGGGAGGCAGCAGUGGGGAAUAUUGCACAAUGGGCGCAAGCCUGAUGCAGCCAUGCCGCGUGUAUGAAGAAGGCCUUCGGGUUGUAAAGUACUUUCAGCGGGGAGGAAGGCGAUAAGGUUAAUAACCUUGUCGAUUGACGUUACCCGCAGAAGAAGCACCGGCUAACUCCGUGCCAGCAGCCGCCGUAA